GUACCGCACGAACGUUAUUCGGAAUUAUUGGGCUUAAAGGGUGCGUAGGCGGCGCGGCAGGUUGGAUGUGAAAUCCCUCGGCUCAACCGAGGAAUUGCGUCCAAAACCGCCGUGCUUGAGGGAGACAGAGGUGAGCGGAACUUCGGGUGGAGCGGUGAAAUGCGUUGAUAUCCGAAGGAACACCGGUGGCGAAAGCGGCUCACUGGGUCUCUACUGACGCUGAGGCACGAAAGCUAGGGUAGCGAACGGGAUUAGAUACCCCGGUAGUCCUAGCUGUAAACGAUGAGCACUUGGUCGGAGGAUUCGUCACUGAUCUUCCCGGCCGUAGCGAAAGUGUUAAGUGCUCCGCCUGGGGAGUAUGUCGCAAGGCUG
rnacentral:rRNA from 1 species